rnacentral:rRNA from 1 species
UACGUAGGGUGCAAGCGUUAAUCGGAAUUACUGGGCGUAAAGCGCGUGUAGGCGGCUUUGCAAGUCGGGUGUGAAAGCCCUCAGCUCAACUGAGGAAGUGCGCCCGAAACUGCAGAGCUUGAGUACCGGAGAGGAUGGCGGAAUUCCCCAAGUAGAGGUGAAAUUCGUAGAUAUGGGGAGGAACACCGGUGGCGAAGGCGGCGUUCUGGACUGCAACUGACACUGGAGGAACGAAAGCCAGGGAGCAAACGGG